rnacentral:ncRNA from 1 species
AGCCCGUGAUCCGGCUGUUCCCGCUGCCCUUUAAAGCACUUGGAGAAAUUAACAACCAAACCAAACCCCGCCUGACCGCCCGGCAAUUGGUAGCCACUCGUUCGGGUGGCGGGGGCAUAGGCGGGUCGGUUUGGUGGGGUACGGUCGCCGCACACCACCACAACCACAGACAGUGAACGACCCCCGACAGGACGGCAAUCCUGACGAGGGUCUGACCACGCAGGAAGAAAAGAGCUUCCCC